rnacentral:snRNA from 1 species
GAUGUUUCAUAUAUAUGUAGCCCCAAGCCAGGCCAUUAGAAAUCACGUGCUAAAAUGGUAACAAUCCAGACAAGAUUAGCCCGGCCCUGCGUGAGGAUGAGACGCAAAUUCGAGAGGUGUUCUGUAUUUUU